UACGAAGGGGGCUAGCGUUGUUCGGAUUUACUGGGCGUAAAGCGCACGUAGGCGGAUUGUUAAGUCAGGGGUGAAAUCCUGGAGCUCAACUCCAGAACUGCCUUUGAUACUGGCAAUCUUGAGUCCGGAAGGGGUGAGUGGAACUCCUAGUGUAGAGGUGGAAUUCGUAGAUAUUAGGAAGAACACCAGUGGCGAAGGCGGCUCACUGGUCCGGUACUGACGCUGAGGUGCGAAAGCGUGGGGAGCAAACAGG
rnacentral:rRNA from 1 species